GAAGAGAUAAGAAAAAUCUGUGUUGGAAACCAAUGGUACACACACUGCUUCAGUAAGGGAAGAAGUCACCACACAUCCCAGCUGGAGGAGGGAACAUGACUGGCUCACUUCAGCACCCUCACCAUUGUUCCAGAUAUCCAAGGCCCUCCUUGGACCUCAACAAGACUUAAGCCGCUGCAGAGACGGUGUAAAUGUGGAGUGGCUGGUUGGGGACAGAGUGAAACUCCUGGAAUCAGAUGGUGAUCUGCUGAUAAGCUGGGUCUGUGCCAGCCAGCAGAGUCCAUGCGUGCAAGAGCCUGGAGUCUCCCCCUGUGAAGGCUUGGGGCUGGUUGGGCAGUAAGCCUCACAGUAAUCCUUAGUCCUGUUAGAUGGGAGUUCUAAAUUUAUUUUCAAAGAAUUAAUAUGUCAGUAUGUUCAAUUCUUUGCCUUCUACUUUUAAACUUAACUUCCUCAUAAAGCAACCUUUUUCCAUUACCUACCCCACCCUAACUCAUUCUGAUCACCUGCUCCACCCUAACUCAUUCUGACCACCUGCUCCACUCUAACUCAUUAGGAUUACCUGCUACCUGCUCUGCCCUGACUCCCGCCAAAGCUCUCAUCCCAUCAUUCUCUUUCAAUUAGCCAAUCGGAAUUAGUUUAGCCUGUGUGGUCUAACCCUAGCUAACAGGAGAAUGACACAGCGGCUGCAGCCAAGUUCGUCAGGGAUAAGAACCCCUUCCCCUCCCUUGUCCACCUGGGCGCUCACCAUUGUUCCAUCUGUAAGGGCGCACCGUUCUAUAUAGAAGUAACUUGCCUUGCUGAGAAUUAAAAAGAAAAUUUUAUAUUCGAGUGCUAUUUCUUUUGCGGCACCAAAACUUUAUGUGUAAUAGUCCAC
rnacentral:lncRNA from 10 species